rnacentral:ncRNA from 1 species
CGAAGUUUCCCUCAGGAUAGCUGGCACUCAAAGUCCCGCAGUUUUAUCUGGUAAAGCGAAUAAUUAGAGGCCUAUUCUCAAACUUUAAAUGGGUGAGAAGGCCGGCUCGCUGGCUUGGAAUGCGAGCCGCCUAGUGGGCCACUUGGGAUGAACCGAAAGGCGGGUUAAGGCGCCCGAUGCCGACGCUCAUCAGACCCCAGAAAAGGGGUUGGUUGAUAUAGACAGCAGGACGGUGGCCAUGGAACGUCGGAACCCGCUGAGGGGUGUGUAACAACUCACCUGCCGAUUCAACUAGCCCUGAAAAUGGAUGGGGCUGGAGCGUCGGGCCCAUACCCGGCCGUCGGCGGCGGUGGAGCUGCCGCGGGUGCAG